UUUGCUGGGAUUUGGCGGCAUCUAGUGGCAGACUCGAGAGGUAUAAACCUUACCCACAGAACUUUCUGGAAAAUUAACAGUGCGUAUUUGCCUGAAGAAGGUUAGUGUGCUUGCUUGGAGAUCAGGACGCAAAGGUCACCAUCAGAAAAGCUAAGUUUGCUGUAUAGUGAGGAUCAGGAGAUCUGAUCCUGAUUGCAGAACCUUCCCUGAUUACAGAAUCUUCGUGGUUGGAAUAAAAACAGGGUUGAAUGAGUUCCAGAAAGCAGGGUUCUCAACCUCGUGGACAGCAAUCUGCAGAAGAAGAGAACUUCAAAAAACCAACUAGAAGCAACAUGCAGAGAAGUAAAAUGAGAGGGGCCUCCUCAGGAAAGAAGACAGCUGGUCCACAGCAGAAAAAUCUUGAACCAGCUCUCCCAGGAAGAUGGGGGGGUCGCUCUGCAGAGAACCCCCCUUCAGGAUCCGUGAGGAAGACCAGAAAGAACAAGCAGAAGACUCCUGGAAACGGAGACGGUGGCAGUACCAGCGAAGCACCUCAGCCCCCUCGGAAGAAAAGGGCCCGGGCAGACCCCACUGUUGAAAGUG
rnacentral:sRNA from 1 species